GGCCACAUAGUUCAGCGGUUAGAAUUCCUGAUUCCAGAUGCCUAAUGGGCAAGAGAUUCCAGGGGAUCCUAGGUUCGAGUCCUAGUGUGGUCA
rnacentral:tRNA from 1 species